rnacentral:rRNA from 1 species
AUUAGAUAAAAAACCAAUGCCCUUCGGGGCUUCUUGGUGAUUCAUGAUAACUAAACGGAUCGCAUGGCCUUGCGCCGGCGACGGUUCAUUCAAAUUUCUGCCCUAUCAACUUUCGAUGGUAAGGUAUUGGCUUACCAUGGUUUCAACGGGUAACGGGGAAUUAGGGUUCGAUUCCGGAGAGGGAGCCUGAGAAACGGCUACCACAUCCAAGGAAGGCAGCAGGCGCGCAAAUUACCCAAUCCCGACACGGGGAGGUAGUGACAAUAAAUACUGAUACAGGGCUCUUUUGGGUCUUGUAAUUGGAAUGAGUACAAUUUAAACCUCUUAACGAGGAACAAUUGGAGGGCAAGUCUGGUGCCAGCAGCCGCGGUAAUUCCAGCUCCAAUAGCGUAUAUUAAAGUUGUUGCAGUUAAGAAGCUCGUAGUUGAACCUUGGGCCUGGCUGGCAGGUCCGCCUCACCGCGUGUACUUGACCGGCCGGGCCUUUCCUUCUGGAGAACCUCAUGCCCUUCACUGGG